CCUACGGGCGGCUGCAGUGGGGAAUAUUGCACAAUGGGCGCAAGCCUGAUGCAGCCAUGCCGCGUGUGUGAAGAAGGCCUUCGGGUUGUAAAGCACUUUCAGCGGGGAGGAAGGCGUUAAGGUUAAUAACCUGGUCGAUUGACGUUACCCGCAGAAGAAGCACCGGCUAACUCCGUGCCAGCAGCCGCGGUAAUACGGAGGGUGCAAGCGUUAAUCGGAAUUACUGGGCGUAAAGCGCACGCAGGCGGUCUGUCAAGUCGGAUGUGAAAUCCCCGGGCUCAACCUGGGAACUGCAUUCGAAACUGGCAGGCUAGAGUCUUGUAGAGGGGGGUAGAAUUCCAGGUGUAGCGGUGAAAUGCGUAGAGAUCUGGAGGAAUACCGGUGGCGAAGGCGGCCCCCUGGACAAAGACUGACGCUCAGGUGCGAAAGCGUGGGGAGCAAACAGGAUUAGAUACCCGGGUAGUC
rnacentral:rRNA from 1 species